CCUACGGGAGGCAGCAGUAGGGAAUCUUCGGCAAUGGGGGGAACCCUGCCCGAGCACCGCCGCGGGAACGAAGAAGUUAUUCUUAAUGUAAGGUUCUUUUAACAGGGAAGAAAGAGAAAUUUGACGGUACCUGACGAAUAAGCUCCGGCUAACUACGUGCCAGCAGCCGCGGUAAUACGUAGGGAGCGAGCGUUAUCCGGAAUUAUUGGGCGAAAGGGGUGCGUAGAUGGCAUAGUAAGUCUUUUGUAAAAAUGCUGGGCUCAACCCAGUAGGGCAAAAGAUACUGCAAAGCUAGAGUAUGACAGAGGCAAGUGGAACUACAUGUGUAGCGGUAAAAUGCGUAAAUAUAUGUAAGAACACCAGUGGCGAAGGCGGCUUGCUGGGUCGAUACUGACAUUGAGGCACGAAAGCGUGGGGAGCAAACAGGAUUAGAUACCCCAGUAGUC
rnacentral:rRNA from 1 species